CUUAAUAGAGUACUCAUACAAAUAAAUUUAGAUUUUAUUUAAAAAUUAAAAUAAUUUUAUUAAGA
rnacentral:tRNA from 1 species